AUUCUGCCCAAGCGGGGAAGGAUGAGAAGCUUCGACCAAGGUUCGACUUGAGCGCCAGCGAGAGAGCGUUGCCGCAGGCAACGACCCGAAGGGCGAAGCGCGCAACGCUGAGUAAUCCUUCCCCCACCACCA
rnacentral:sRNA from 1 species